AAAGCGUGCGCAGGCGGUUUUGUAAGUCUGUUGUGAAAUCCCCGGGCUCAACCUGGGAAUGGCAAUGGAGACUGCAAGGCUAGAGUUUGGCAGAGGGGGGUAGAAUUCCACGUGUAGCAGUGAAAUGCGUAGAUAUGUGGAGGAACACCGAUGGCGAAGGCAGCCCCCUGGGUCAAAACUGACGCUCAUGCACGAAAGCGUGGGGAGCAAACAGGAUUAGAUACCCCAGU
rnacentral:rRNA from 1 species